rnacentral:rRNA from 1 species
UACGUAGGGUGCGAGCGUUAAUCGGAAUUACUGGGCGUAAAGCGUGCGCAGGCGGUGGCUCAAGCCAGGCGUGAAAUCCCCGGGCUUAACCUGGGAUGGCGUUUGGGACUGGGUCGCUAGAGUGUGGCAGAGGGAGGUGGAAUUCCACGUGUAGCAGUGAAAUGCGUAGAGAUGUGGAGGAACACCGAUGGCGAAGGCAGCCUCCUGGGCCAGCACUGACGCUCAUGCACGAAAGCGUGGGGAGCAAACAGG